UUACCUAAGAGUGGGAACAGCCUUGCCCUCACACAAUAAGGAUGGGAGUCAUAAAAGAGUGGGUUAGCUGGUAGAGAGUCAGUUGGAGACUGCUGGCUGUUCUGUGAGAAGUAAGGGUCAGGUAGCUACCUGCAAGGGAUAGGAAGCUGUGCAAUGGACAGGAAAGAGUUAGCUGGUCCUCUAGAAUGAAGAGAGAAGAAAGAACUAGUAGAGCUGCCAUAGGAAGGUUACAAAGACAAGGUACGUGUUCUGAAGCAAGAAUGAUUUUCAGGUCUGAUUUAUGGAGUCCUGUCCUAAUGUAGUCCUUGAAGAAUAAAUUUCAGGUCUCUGAAACUAAUACAGCUGCCGAGGUCACAUGCUUUCCAAGUCUGUUUCUAACUGCAUGUUCUCUGAAACUUUGUCUCCUAGAUCCUUGUUCCUGUGGACCUUCUGGCUAACAGCAGAUAUCUAUCCCUGUCUAAGAAAUGGAAGAGCAGCAGACAGAAGUGCAGAAUUUUCAAACAAAAAUAAAACAAGGGAAAAAGAAAGUACUUCUCUAUCUUUCUUCUAGCACACAAUAUAAAUAUUUAUGGUGCUGGAAUGUAUUUACC